ensembl:lncRNA
UGCUGAUACAAUAUAAAAAAUACAGAAUUAAUGACAUCUAAAUCUGAAUUAAUAAGAUGUGCCGUUCAGAUUGAAAGCAGUUUGACAUCUUUUCACAUCUUUUUCAAUACGAGAAAAAUUAAUUCAGAGUUCUUCAAAAUAUGAACAUUUUUUGACAGGUAAAACUUUUCAGAUAAACUUUUUCAAUGAAAAUAGAAGCAUUCAUUCCACAGAAAAGUUUUCUCAGGGGAAAGCCAUUUAAUCACAAGCUAUAUAUAACACAGGAAAUAGCAUCCUUUGUUGAAUCACUAGCUGCCACAAAGAGUCCUCAGUUUUCUAUAGUGGUCCUGUCCCUGCUGAGAGUGAGAGAUUCCUCAUGUCCAUGGCCCUGCAAAGGUUUAAAUUAAACCUACCUUACACACAUUGUGGGAGGCUGAAUUUAAUUUAAUGGCUUCAGCCCAAAAUCCAGAGAGAUACAUGUUCUCUGAAGACACUUCCACAAGACAAUUUGAAACAAAAAGUACUCCAGUUAGAGGAACUGCCUGAGAGUAGCUGUUGUGGUUCUCAUUGGAUCCAGCACCCUCCGCCUUCCAGCAUCAGGCUUUCUUGGAGAAAAUGAUAAGAGCAAGAACACAG